rnacentral:lncRNA from 7 species
ACUGCCCGGAGCAGAGCGAGGUCCGGCCGGAGGACAGCAGCGAGGAGCGCGCGAUGUCCGCUAUGUGAUCGUCAACGAGCAGGCCCCGCUGUCCCGCGCCAUGUUUGGGGAGCUGCAGCGCCACGCCCCGCCGGGCGUCCCCGUCCUCCAGCAGCAGCCACACGAGCCCGACGUGUGGCAGCUGCUGGGGGGUGACAAAGACGACUUCCUCGUCUACGACCGCGGCCGCCUGGCCUUCCACAUCCAGCUGCCCUACAGCUUCCUGCACCUGCCCUACGUCGAGUCCGCCAUCCGCUUCACCCACCGCAAGGACUUCUGCGGGAACUGCUCCCUCUACCCCAACAGCACCCAGGAGCCAACAGUACCAUGGAGGUCCCUGCGACCCUGACCCCGCUUCCCAAACAGGAGGAGAAGGAAUCCGAGACCCCCGCCCACCACCAACCCAACCAUCUCCAUCCUCACCACCGCGCAGUUGGCAACGGGACAGCCCCAGAGCCCAGCGGGGACCACAGACCUGCCCACGCUCACCACCACCAUGGAGCCCAUGGCAAACUCCAUCCCAAGGGCCAGACGCCAGAGGGACGCGAUCCCUAAUCUGGGCAGAACCCACAGCGUGCACACCACGCUGGCUCACUUCCCAGAGGCAUCGAAAGACUUGCUUUGCGCUGCUGGCCACAAGCAGCGUUGGUAUACAGCCCCCUCCACGUGGGUCGCGCUUCCACCCAGUGCCCAGGGAUGAAAAUCCCCCUCUGGCACCCAAAGGUGCUGACCUUUUGGCCCCAAGACUCAGUUCUACCCCUUUUUCCUCUGCUGCCUUCUCUCCGUGCUCAAUGAUGCCUGUGGUGCAAACCGGGACCUCCCCGGUCACCGCAGGCUGACACUGCACGGAGCAGCAGGGCAGGGAUUGAAGGAGCAGAACUGGGACCCGUGGGUGCACCCGGAGCGCCGGGGUGAGCCCGGAGGAGGGGAGUGCUGACGGGGAUCACCGCUCCCUGCGUCCCAACCUUCCCACCCUGUGCACGGGUAUGUGCAGUGGUGGUGGGUGGCCGCAAGAUGGUGGCCGUGUCCCCUCUCAGAAAACGGGCUGCCUCCACAGCCCGCAGCCCUGGGAGGAGGAUGUGGGUGGGGGUCCUGGGGUGAAGUGGACAUCCAGAUGAUGAAUAAAGCCUCUGUGAA